UUACGGCCAUAUCACGUUGAAACACCAGUUCUCGUAUGAUCACAGAACUUAAGCAAUGUUGAACCUGAUCAGUAUUUAGAUGGGUGACCGUUGGGGAAUACCAGGUGUUGUAAG